rnacentral:rRNA from 1 species
AUGAACGCUAGCGACAGGCUUAACACAUGCAAGUCGAGGGGCAGCGGGGUGUAGCAAUACACCGCCGGCGACCGGCGCACGGGUGAGUAACGCGUAUGCAACUUGCCUAUCAGAGGGGGAUAACCCGGCGAAAGUCGGACUAAUACCGCAUGAAGCAGGGGCCCCGCAUGGGGAUAUUUGCUAAAGAUUCAUCGCUGAUAGAUAGGCAUGCGUUCCAUUAGGCAGUUGGCGGGGUAACGGCCCACCAAACCGACGAUGGAUAGGGGUUCUGAGAGGAAGGUCCCCCACAUUGGUACUGAGACACGGACCAAACUCCUACGGGAGGCAGCAGUGAGGAAUAUUGGUCAAUGGGCGCGAGCCUGAACCAGCCAAGUCGCGUGAGGGAUGAAGGUUCUAUGGAUCGUAAACCUCUUUUAUAAGGGAAUAAAGUGCGGGACGUGUCCCGUUUUGUAUGUACCUUAUGAAUAAGGAUCGGCUAACUCCGUGCCAGCAGCCGCGGUAAUACGGAGGAUCCGAGCGUUAUCCGGAUUUAUUGGGUUUAAAGGGUGCGUAGGCGGCCUUUUAAGUCAGCGGUGAAAGUCUGUGGCUCAACCAUAGAAUUGCCGUUGAAACUGGGGGGCUUGAGUAUGUUUGAGGCAGGCGGAAUGCGUGGUGUAGCGGUGAAAUGCUUAGAUAUCACGCAGAACCCCGAUUGCGAAGGCAGCCUGCCAAGCCAUGACUGACGCUGAUGCACGAAAGCGUGGGGAUCAAACAGGAUUAGAUACCCUGGUAGUCCACGCAGUAAACGAUGAUCACUAGCUGUUUGCGAUACAGUGUAAGCGGCACAGCGAAAGCGUUAAGUGAUCCACCUGGGGAGUACGCCGGCAACGGUGAAACUCAAAGGAAUUGACGGGGGCCCGCACAAGCGGAGGAACAUGUGGUUUAAUUCGAUGAUACGCGAGGAACCUUACCCGGGUUUGAACGCAUUCGGACCGAGGUGGAAACACCUUUUCUAGCAAUAGCCGUUUGCGAGGUGCUGCAUGGUUGUCGUCAGCUCGUGCCGUGAGGUGUCGGCUUAAGUGCCAUAACGAGCGCAACCCUUGCCACUAGUUACUAACAGGUGAUGCUGAGGACUCUGGUGGGACUGCCAGCGUAAGCUGCGAGGAAGGCGGGGAUGACGUCAAAUCAGCACGGCCCUUACAUCCGGGGCGACACACGUGUUACAAUGGCGUGGACAAAGGGAAGCCACCUGGCGACAGGGAGCGAAUCCCCAAACCACGUCUCAGUUCGGAUCGGAGUCUGCAACCCGACUCCGUGAAGCUGGAUUCGCUAGUAAUCGCGCAUCAGCCAUGGCGCGGUGAAUACGUUCCCGGGCCUUGUACACACCGCCCGUCAAGCCAUGGGAGCCGGGGGUACCUGAAGUCCGUAACCGCGAGGAUCGGCCUAGGGUAAAACUGGUGACUGGGGCU